rnacentral:rRNA from 1 species
UACGUAGGGUCCGAGCGUUGUCCGGAAUUACUGGGCGUAAAGAGCUCGUAGGUGGUUUGUCGCGUUGUUCGUGAAAACUCACAGCUCAACUGUGGGCGUGCGGGCGAUACGGGCAGACUAGAGUACUGCAGGGGAGACUGGAAUUCCUGGUGUAGCGGUGGAAUGCGCAGAUAUCAGGAGGAACACCGGUGGCGAAGGCGGGUCUCUGGGCAGUAACUGACGCUGAGGAGCGAGAGCGUGGGGAGCGAACAGG